AACGAACGCUGGCGGCGCGCCUAAUACAUGCAAGUCGAGCGAGAAGACGUAGCAAUACGUUUGUAAAGCGGCGAACGGGUGAGGAAUACAUGGGUAACCUACCCUCGAGUGGGGAAUAACUAGCCGAAAGGUUAGCUAAUACCGCGUACGCUCCUUGGACUUCGGUUCAGGGAGGAAAGCGAUACCGUGGGUAUCGCGCUCUUGGAUGGGCUCAUGUCCUAUCAGCUUGUUGGUGAGGUAACGGCUCACCAAGGCUUCGACGGGUAGCUGGUCUGAGAGGACGAUCAGCCACACUGGCACUGCGACACGGGCCAGACUCCUACGGGAGGCAGCAGUAAGGAAUAUUGCGCAAUGGGCAAAGCCUGACGCAGCGACGCCGCGUGGGGGAUGAAGGUCUUCGGAUUGUAAACCCCUUUCGGGAGGGAAGAU
rnacentral:rRNA from 1 species